GUCGGUGCUAGCCUGCUUGAAUACGUUCAAGGGCAGGACAGCGGUCCUACUGAAACUUUUUCAGAGGCUCCUGGGGCAAAUGGCGGCACCGCUCGGCCUGUUACAUAUGAGACCGCUCCAUCACUGGCUUUAUGGCUGAGUCCCGAGGUGGCCGUGGAAGCAUGGCACUCACCGGGUCCAAGUUACACCGGCCUGUCGCCAAACCCUCACCCCGUGGUCAGAUCUUGCAUUUCUUCGGGCAGGGAUGCCCCUAGAGCAGAUCUCAGGGCAUGCUGUGGUUUACAUGGAUGCCUCCACCACCGGCUGGGGGGCCAAGUACAACGGUCACAGUCUCAGGGGUUUGGACGUGCCCGCAGCUGCAGUGGCACAUCAAUUGCCUAGAGUUGUUAGCAGUGCGCCUUGCCUUGAACCAUCUCAAAGGUCGCGUAGGAGGCAAGCACAUGCUUGUCUGAACAGACAACACAGCGACCUUUGCGUACAUCAACUGACAAGGUGGUCUGUGCUCCCAUCACAUGUCGCAACUCACCCGCCACCUCCUCCUUUGGAGUCAGAAGGUUCUGAGGUCACUUCAUGCUGUUCACCUUCCAGGCCUCCUCAACCGUACAGCCGACGAGCUGUCUCGAGCAAUGCUCCCGGGAAAAUGGCGACUCCAUCCCCUGACGAUCCAGCUGAUUUGGAGACAGUUCGGAGCUGCUCAGGUAGACCUGUUUCCUUCUCCAGAGACCUCUCACUGCCAGUUGUUCUACUUCCUGACCGAGGGGACACUCCGCAUGGACGCACUGGCACACAGCUGGCCCCAGGGCCUACGCAAAUACGCAUUUCCCCCAGUGAGCCUUCUCGCACAGACACUGUGCAAAGUCCGGGAGGACAAAGAGCAAGUCUCGCUAGUGCCACCGUAUUGGCGCACUCGGACCUGGUUCCCCGAACUACUGCUCCUCGCGACAGCCCCUCCUUGGCCCAUUCCUCUGAGGAAGGAUCUACUGACGCAGAGAUGGGGCACGGUUUGGCACCCGCGUCCAGACCUUUGGAAACUCCAUGUCUGGUCCCUGGACGGGAUGCAGAGACGCUAGAUGACCUACCCCAGGAGGUAGUGAACACCAUCACUUCGGCAAGAGCACCAUCUACGAGACACACUUACGCAUUGAAGUGGAACCUGUUUGUCGCGUGGUGUUCUUCUCACCGAGAGGACCCCCGAAGAUGCCCGAUUGUGGUCGUGCUUUCCUUUCUGCAGCAAGGGCUGGAGCAAAGGCUGUCUCC
ensembl:lncRNA